UACGGGGGGAACAAGCGUUGUUCGGAUUUACUGGGCGUAAAGGGCGCGUAGGCGGUCAGCACAAGUCAGUUGUGAAAUCUCCGGGCUUAACUCGGAAAGGUCAACUGAUACUGUGCGACUAGAGUGCAGAAGGGGCAACUGGAAUUCUCGGUGUAGCGGUGAAAUGCGUAGAUAUCGAGAGGAACACCUGCGGCGAAGGCGGGUUGCUGGGCUGACACUGACGCUGAUGCGCGAAAGCCAGGGGAGCGAACGGG
rnacentral:rRNA from 1 species